rnacentral:snRNA from 1 species
AUUGCUGCCGGGCCUUUUGUCUAAGAUCAAGUGUAGUAUCUGUACUUAUCAGUUUAAUAUGUGAUACGUCCUCUAUCCGAGGACAUUAUAUUAAAUGUAUUUUUAGAGCAGGGAGAUGGAACAGGAUUUUGCUCCGCCCAUCCAUGCACCAAGCCGGUAUGGAAGUAUCUCUGGGAACAGUGCAAGAAAA